GGUGAGGAUGUGGAGAAAAAGGAACCCUCACGCACUGUUGGUGGGAAUGCAAACUGGUGCAGCCACUCUGGAAAACAGUAUGGAGGUUCCUCAAAAAACUAAAAACACAACUAUCCUAGGACCCAGCAACUGCAUUACUAGGCAUUUAUCCAAGGGAUACAGGUGUGCUGUUUCGAAGGGACACAUGCACCCUCAUGUUUAUAGCAGCACGAUCAACAAUAGCCAAAGUACAG